GUCUACCACCAUACCACUUUGAACACUUCUGAUUCCAGCUGCUAAACAGGGUUUAGUCUGGUUAAUAAUUAGAUGGGAGACCACCACAUAAUAUCAGAAGCUUGCCU
rnacentral:rRNA from 1 species